UACGUAGGUGGCAAGCGUUGUCCGGAUUUAUUGGGUUUAAAGGGUGCGUAGGCGGCAUUUUAAGUCAGUGGUGAAAUACUUCAGCUUAACUGGAGAGGUGCCAUUGAUACUGGGAUGCUUGAGUACUGAUGAGGUAGGCGGAAUGGACGGUGUAGCGGUGAAAUGCUUAGAUAUCGUCCAGAACACCGAUAGCGAAGGCAGCUUACUAAGGAGUAACUGACGCUGAGGCACGAAAAGUGUGGGGGAUCAAACAGG
rnacentral:rRNA from 1 species